GCCCAACACACGUGUUCUACGAACCUGUUUUAAGUUAGUUUUAAGUUGGUCUCGAGCGACCGGUAAACACACCGCGUGCUCACAGUGCAACUCUGUAGUCUGUAAAUCGAGAUCGUGAAUCUAACGGAGCGUCUAACCAACACCAGUUUUGAGAAUUCUUCAAGGACGUGGUCACAAAAACGAUAUUUUAAAAAUGGCGGAAGUUAUCAUAGAUAUACCAAAACAAAUAGACGAUGAAUUGAAGAAUGAAAUGAUUACGUCAACAGUAUCAUCCGAAGAUGAGACUACUCGUAUUGAUCUUCAAGCAGCUGUGAUCGAGGUUUCGGAUUCACCACAAAUUAAUGGAAAAAUGGUAACAGCCAAUUAUGCUGAUAUUGUACAAAGCAUGCGAGAUACAUUUUUUAGUGGUAAAACAAGACCAUUGGCAUGGAGAAUAAAGCAAUUAAGACAAAUGAUUAGAAUGAUGGAGGAGUGCACACCUAAAUUUUUAUCCGCAUUGGCAACAGAUUUAAGACGGAGUAAAUUUGAGUCUAUGAUUUUAGAAAUUAAUUAUACUAUACAAGAUAUUAAGCACAUGAUUUAUAACAUAAAAGAUUGGGCUGCUCCAGAAAAGCCUGCUAAAGCAAUAGUGAAUAUACUCGAUGGCGUUGAAAUACAGAAAGAUCCUUAUGGUGUUGUUCUCAUCAUAGGAGCAUGGAAUUAUCCAGUACAAUUGAUCUUGGCACCUUUGAUUGGUGCUAUAGCAGCUGGAAAUUGUGUUAUUAUUAAACCCUCGGAAAUUGCACAAGCUACUGCUAAUCUUUUGGCAGAAAUAAUUCCAAAAUAUUUAGAUACAGAGUGUUACCGCGUUAUAACAGGAGGUGUAGCAGAAACGACUGAACUACUUAAACAAAGAUUUGAUUAUAUAUUUUAUACUGGUUCUACUAACGUUGGUAAAAUAGUUCGUGAAGCAUCUAGCAAAUACUUGACGCCUGUUACUUUAGAAUUAGGUGGUAAAAGUCCUGUUUACAUAGAUAAUUCGGCAGACGUAUGUAUAGCCGCAAAGAGAAUAUUAUGGGGGAAGUUCAUCAAUGUUGGACAAACUUGUAUUGCACCUGACUACGUAUUGUGUUCCACGGAAGUUCAAAAUAAAUUUUUGGAAGAAGCUAGAAAGAUCUUGAAAGAGUGGUAUGGAGAUAAUCCUAAAGAAAGUCCUGAUUUUUGUCGUAUUAUUAAUGAAAAUCAUUUGCAGCGUUUAAAGAAUUAUUUAUCAGGCAAUGGAAAAGUAGCAAUAGGUGGUGACUACGAUCUCGCAGAAAAGUAUAUUUCUCCAACAGUACUUAUCGAUGUAAGGUCUACUGAUCCAGUUAUGCAAGAUGAAAUUUUUGGACCGAUUUUGCCAAUUAUUAAUGUUGAUAAUGCUUACGAAGCUAUUCGUUUUAUUAACAGUCGCGAUGCCCCGCUUGUACUAUACAUCUUUUCCAAGGACAAAGGAGUACAAAAUUUAAUUAUAAGUCAAACUAAUAGCGGAUCAGUCUGUGUCAACGAUACAAUAUUGCAAUAUAGUGGGAGAAGCCAUUAGCAAUGUAUAUAUUUAGCGCAAAUAAGGAAAAUAUAUCUAUGAUUCUUGCCAAUACUUCUAGUGGUGGUGUUGGUGUUAAUGAAAUAAUGUUGCACGCAGCAGUUGACACAUUACCGUUCGGUGGAGUCGGUAAUUCAGGUAUGGGUGCUUAUCAUGGAAAAUACAGUUUUGAUACAUUUGUGCAUAAAAAGGGAUGUCUUAUUAAAAAUUUCAACAUUAUUGGGGAAAAGUUGGCAUCAUGUCGUUAUCCACCUUACACUGAUAGAAAAUUAAGUUUACUGCAAAUGUUGGUGGCCAAAAGACCCGACGUACCAGGAAUAAAGUAUUUGCCGCAUUUGAUAAUGUUUGGACUAGGUGUACUCGCUACUUUUGGUGUCAAAGCUGCUCUUAAGGAUUUCUCCGAUGAAGACCAGCUGUAACAGUAAUAAUUAUGGUAUCGUCAAAAAUCAAGAUCCUUGUACUAAAUGGAUACCGAAGUAUACUUUAGUUAACAAAAAGGUUUCGUUUAAUGCUAUACUUUAUAAGUAAAAUAUUAAGUAAACACUUUUAAGCGAUUACACGUUAUUAAGUUAACAGUCUUUUUUUUUUUAUAUUUCUACGAAGUUAAAUUAGAAGGCUGUGUUCAUAUUUUUUUGUCU
rnacentral:misc_RNA from 1 species